CGGUUGUCACGCUAUUCCCCUCAGUCGGUCCCUAGACCCCCGAAGCUGCAAGCCUCGAGGGGAGUUGCCCGCGUUCUUGGUUUGUGGUUGCCCGCGUUGUAUACCCGUCCGUCCCCCUCGGGGGAACGGAUCGGCCCGACAUCGUCCCACGUCCGUCCGGCGCCUCGCAAGGGGCUUUCUCGGAGGACCACGAAGCAGCCCCCGCGAUCCACUCCCGUCGGCUUCAUCGGCGAGCUUGGCCCGCGGGGCGCUGUUGCUCUCUCGGAUGCGGUGCAUGCCGAGGACCCUCGGGGCCCCUGUCCCCGCACGUCCCGAACGAACGAUUCGACCCGAUUCUCCUGAGAGACGCUCUCGCCUCCGGCGCCCGCAAGGCACGGCGCGCGAGACGUCGCGGAGGGUUGCUACCUGGUUGAC
rnacentral:misc_RNA from 1 species